UACGUAGGUGGCAAGCGUUGUCCGGAUUUACUGGGCGUAAAGAGCGCGCAGGCGGUCGUUCAAGUCGCGUGUGAAAGCCCCCGGCUCAACUGGGGAGGGUCACGCGAUACUGAUCGACUCGAAGGCAGGAGAGGGAAGUGGAAUUCCCGGUGUAGUGGUGAAAUGCGUAGAUAUCGGGAGGAACACCGAUUGCGAAGGCAGCUCGCUGGAACGUUACUGACGCUGAGACGCGAAAGCGUGGGGAGCAAACAGG
rnacentral:rRNA from 1 species